GGGGGGAUUCCAGAGUGGUUAAAUGGGGCAGACUGUAAAUCUGUUGGCUACGCCUUCGGAGGUUCGAAUCCUUCUCCCCCCA
rnacentral:tRNA from 1 species